rnacentral:rRNA from 1 species
GUGGGGAAUAUUGGACAAUGGGCGCAAGCCUGAUCCAGCCAUGCCGCGUGAGUGAUGACGGCCUUAGGGUUGUAAAGCUCUUUCGCUCGGGACGAUAAUGACGGUACCGAGAUAAGAAGCCCCGGCUAACUUCGUGCCAGCAGCCGCGGUAAUACGAAGGGGGCUAGCGUUGUUCGGAAUUACUGGGCGUAAAGCGCGUGUAGGCGGGUCUUUAAGUCAGAGGUGAAAUGCCAAGGCUCAACCUUGGAACUGCCUUUGAUACUGGAGAUCUUGAGUCCGGGAGAGGUGAGUGGAAUUGCGAGUGUAGAGGUGAAAUUCGUAGAUAUUCGCAAGAACACCAGUGGCGAGGGCGGCUCACUGGCCCGGAACUGACGCUGAGACGCGAAAGCGUGGGGAGCAAAC